CCUACGGGUGGUAGCCGUGGGGAAUAUUGCACAAUGGGGGAAACCCUGCUGCAGCAACGCCGCGUGAGUGAAGAAGUAUUUCGGUAUGUAAAGCUCUAUCAGCAGGGACGAAGAUGACGGUACCUGAGUACUACGCCCCGGCUAACUACGUGCCAGCCGCCGCGGUAAUACGUAGGGGGCAAGCGUUAUCCGGAUUUACUGGGUGUAAAGGGCGCGUAGACGGUGAGAGAAGUCUGAAGUGAAAGCCCGGGGCUCAACCCCGGGACGGCUUUGGAAACUGCCUGACUGGAGUGCGGGAGAGGAAAGCGGAAUUCCUAGUGUAGAGGUGAAAUGCGUAGAUAUUAGGAAGAAAACAAGUGGCGAAGGCGGCUUGCUGGACAGUAACUGACGUUGAGGCUCGAAAGCGUGGGGAGCAAACAGGAUUAGAUACCCCAGUAGUC
rnacentral:rRNA from 1 species